UGGGGAAUAUUGGACAAUGGGCGAAAGCCUGAUCCAGCAAUGCCGCGUGAGUGAUGAAGGCCCUAGGGUUGUAAAGCUCUUUUACCCGGGAAGAUAAUGACUGUACCGGGAGAAUAAGCCCCGGCUAACUCCGUGCCAGCAGCCGCGGUAAUACGGAGGGGGCUAGCGUUGUUCGGAAUUACUGGGCGUAAAGCGCACGUAGGCGGCUUUGUAAGUUAGAGGUGAAAGCCCGGGGCUCAACCCCGGAAUAGCCUUUAAGACUGCAUCGCUUGAACACGGGAGAGGUGAGUGGAAUUCCGAGUGUAGAGGUGAAAUUCGUAGAUAUUCGGAAGAACACCAGUGGCGAAGGCGGCUCACUGGACCGUUGUUGACGCUGAGGUGCGAAAGCGUGGGGAGCAAACA
rnacentral:rRNA from 1 species